rnacentral:rRNA from 1 species
GAUGAACGCUGGCGGCGUGCCUAAUACAUGCAAGUCGAGCGAACGGACGAGAAGCUUGCUUCUCUGAUGUUAGCGGCGGACGGGUGAGUAACACGUGGAUAACCUACCUAUAAGACUGGGAUAACUUCGGGAAACCGGAGCUAAUACCGGAUAAUAUUUUGAACCGCAUGGUUCAAAAGUGAAAGACGGUCUUGCUGUCACUUAUAGAUGGAUCCGCGCUGCAUUAGCUAGUUGGUAAGGUAACGGCUUACCAAGGCAACGAUGCAUAGCCGACCUGAGAGGGUGAUCGGCCACACUAGAACUGAGACACGGUCCAGGCUCCUACGGGAGGCAGCAGUAGGGAAUCUGCCGCAAUGGGCGAAAACAUGGCGGAGCAACGCCGCGUGAGUGAUGAAGGUCUUCGGAUCGUAAAACUCUGUUAUUAGGGAAGAACAUAUGUGUAAGUAACUGUGCACAUCUUGACGGUACCUAAUCAGAAAGCCACGGCUAACUACGUG